UACGUAGGGGGCAAGCGUUGUCCGGAGUUACUGGGCGUAAAGCGCACGCAGGCGGUCUUUUAAGUUUGGAGUGACAGUUGGUGGCUUAACUGCCAAACUGCUUCGAAAACUGACAGACUUGAGGGCUUCAGAGGGACACGGAAUUCCGGGUGGAGUGGUGAAAUGCGUAGAGAUCCGGAGGAACACCAAAGGCGAAGGCAGUGUCCUGGGGAGUACCUGACGCUCAGGUGCGAAAGCCAGGGGAGCGAACGGG
rnacentral:rRNA from 1 species